GACGAACGCUGGCGGCGUGCUUAACACAUGCAAGUCGAACGAGCGGCGGACGGGUGAGUAAUGUAUGGGGAUCUGCCCGAUAGAGGGGGAUAACUACUGGAAACGGUGGCUAAUACCGCAUACUAUCGGAUGAACCCAUAUGGGAUUAGCUAGUGGGUGGGGUAAAGGCUCACCUAGGCGACGAUCCCUAGCUGGUCUGAGAGGAUGACCAGCCAAACUGGAACUGAGACACGGUCCAGACUCCUACGGGAGGCAGCAGUGGGGAAUAUUGCACAAUGGGCGCAAGCCUGAUGCAGCCAUGCCGCGUGUGUGAAGAAGGCCUUCGGGUUGUAAAGCACUUUCAGCGAGGAGGCGUUACUCGCAGAAGAAGCACCGGCUAACUCCGUGCCAGCAGCCGCGGUAAUUC
rnacentral:rRNA from 1 species